GACUGUGUAGCUCAGUUGGUAGAGCGUCGAUCUAGUAAUUCGAAGGUCGCGGGUUCGAGACCGGCCAGCCG